rnacentral:rRNA from 1 species
UACGAAGGGGGCUAGCGUUGUUCGGAAUUACUGGGCGUAAAGGGCGCGUAGGCGGUCCUUCAAGUCAGGCGUGAAAGCCCCGGGCUCAACCUGGGAACCGCGCUUGAGACUGGCGGGCUAGAGUUCGGGAGAGGAUGGUGGAAUUCCCAGUGUAGAGGUGAAAUUCGUAGAUAUUGGGAAGAACACCGAUGGCGAAGGCAGCCAUCUGGACCGACACUGAUGCUGAGGCGCGAAAGCGUGGGGAGCAAACAGG